GCAGGCAUUGCGGCUGAGCCAGGCCUUGUGCGGCUGAUGGGAUGGGUGUUGAAUGCCUGAGCCGUGUGUCAUCCUGCGUUCUUCGUGGGGCAGGCUACCCACCCGUUGCCCGCAGAGUUUUCCGCCUGUCUGUCCCUCCAUCGCUGCCUGUGGUUCCCACAUCUUCUGUGUGAGAAGGUUGAGGGAAGGUCGAUGUCCCCGCUGGCUGUGGGCUGUGAUGGAAGAGGCCAGGACCUGUGCAGGUAUCUGUUGGAGGGAGUCGUGGUGGACUGGUGAAGGUGGUGGCGAAGUCAGAUAUUGAAGGUGGAAGUUCCUGUUUGGCCAUCCAUGGGAGGUCAUUGUCGUUCGGAGCUUCCCUGUGCGGUGACCCAGCGUGUCGUUGGGUGGAGGUGUUUCUGCUCGAAGAGGUCUUUGUCCCCUUCCUGGUUGCCAUGUUCUCCCCAUGGAGGUUGCCGUUGGUCUGAGGGAUUUGUGCAUUGUGCUCCCCAUGCACUCCCCUUGCCAGCAUUGAACGAAGUUUGUUGUCCUUGUGAAUACCCCAAGGGUACCUCAUGGGAAGCUGUGACUCUGUGUGAACCCUCAUGAAUCUGUGCCACUUGUGCCUGUGGGGAGAUGAUGUCUGCCUUAGGACCUGUGAGCACAGCUUUGUUUGUUGUGUGCGAAUAGUUUUGUUUGGUUUGUCAUUUGUGCCCCUAUGACUUCCAACUUGCUGUAUGGGUUGGGUGGGUCCUGAACAGCAUGGCUGCCUUGGAAGGACAGAAGACAGAGAUCCCGAAGACAUACCUGGAGAGUUGUCUGGGAUGCAUCCAUGGAGUUGUCUGCUGACAGCAUGUCUUGUGUGGUCUCCCUGUAUAACACAGGCUGGUCUGUCAGCACAGCCAGAGACUAUGUGGCUGUCCUCAUGCUAUGUACGGCCCAUUGUAGUUACCUGUUGUGUGGAUACUUGUAUGUAUUCAUUAACUGUGUUGUGUGGAAGUGUUGCAUUAUCCUGUGCCAUGUUCAGCAAAGCUUACAGGCAGUCCCUUGUGUGUCCAUUCCCACUCAUGGUUCACAGAGAGUGAGUGAUAUGCAGGGGGCUGGGAUGGCUGCAGGGUCUUGUUGGGUCUGGUUUUCAUGGACAUGGUUUCAUCUGGGGUGAGUGUUUUUAUCUUUGUGGUUGUUCACAGGAGACCUGGUUUGAUUUCCCAAAGCCCUUGAUGUUUCCAGGGUCAUCAUUCACCUCACCUUCUAUCCUAUAUGUGCCCAGCGUCAAGUUAUUUUCUGUGUAUUUGCUGUGGUUGCCUACUGUGCAUUUCCCCUUCCUACCUCGAAGGUAACUUUUAGUUACAUAUGUAGGGGAGCAGCUAUGUAUCUAUGGGGCUAUUGGGUCUUCACGAAUCCAUGGAACAGGGGUAUUUGGUCUGAGUGGAUGGGAGGACAUUGGAGACAUCCGAUUGAUAGUGAGUAUGGUAAGUGUGGUUCCUGAUUCCUAAUGUUGGGGGUGGUUUGUAUUCUGUGUAGAAGUUAGCAAACAGCACAGUUUCCCCUGCACCCAAUGUGCCCUGAGUGACUCCAUCUCCUGUCGCCAUCAUCAUUCUAUCAGUUACACUGUAUGCACCUCAUUUUAUCUUGUGCCUCAGUGGCAUGAUGUUGGUUGUGUGUGUGAUUAGUGAAGCCUGCAGGGGUGACCCCUGUGUCAAGGUGGGCAAUACCUUUCCGAAUGCUGCUCUGCUGUGGCGGAACCCUCUGGUGUUCCUUCCAAUUCCACAAAACCCUGGGCACCCCCCAAUGCAGC